rnacentral:rRNA from 1 species
AGAGUUUGAUCAUGGCUCAGGAUGAACGCUAGCUACAGGCUUAACACAUGCAAGUCGAGGGGCAGCAUGGGAUUAGCUUGCUAAUCCUGAUGGCGACCGGCGCACGGGUGAGUAACGCGUAUCCAACCUUCCCCCUGCUCAGGGAUAGCCCGGUGAAAACCGGAUUAAUACCUGAUGGUUUCAUUUGACGGCAUCAGAUGAUGAAUAAAGAAAUUCGGCAAGGGAUGGGGAUGCGUCUGAUUAGCUUGUUGGCGGGGUAACGGCCCACCAAGGCGACGAUCAGUAGGGGUUCUGAGAGGAAGGUCCCCCACAUUGGAACUGAGACACGGUCCAAACUCCUACGGGAGGCAGCAGUGAGGAAUAUUGGUCAAUGGGCGAGAGCCUGAACCAGCCAAGUAGCGUGCAGGAAGACGGCCCUAUGGGUUGUAAACUGCCUUUGUGCGGGAAUAAAGUCAGGGACGUGUCCCUGUUUGUAUGUACCGCAAGAAUAAGGACCGGCUAAUUCCGUGCCAGCAGCCGCGGUAAUACGGAAGGUCCGGGCGUUAUCCGGGUUUAUUGGGUUUAAAGGGAGCGUAGGCCGUCGUUUAAGCGUGUUGUGAAAUGUAGGCGCCCAACGUCUGCACUGCAGCGCGAACUGGAUGACUUGAGUACGCGGGAAGCAGGCGGAAUUCGUCGUGUAGCGGUGAAAUGCUUAGAUAUGACGAAGAACUCCGAUUGCGAAGGCAGCCUGCUGUAGCGCCACUGACGCUGAUGCUCGAAAGCGUGGGUAUCGAACAGGAUUAGAUACCCUGGUAGUCCACGCGGUAAACGAUGGAUGCUCGCUGUAUGCAUAUGAUGUAUGCGGCCAAGGGAAACCAUUAAGCAUCCCACCUGGGGAGUACGCCGGCAACGGUGAAACUCAAAGGAAUUGACGGGGGCCCGCACAAGCGGAGGAACAUGUGGUUUAAUUCGAUGAUACGCGAGGAACCUUACCCGGGCUCAAACGCAGCGCGACAGACCCUGAAAGGGGUUUUUCUUCGGACGCGCUGCGAGGUGCUGCAUGGUUGUCGUCAGCUCGUGCCGUGAGGUGUCGGCUUAAGUGCCAUAACGAGCGCAACCCCCAUCUUCAGUUGCCCCCGGGUAAAGCCGGGCACUCUGGAGAGACUGCCGGCGCAAGCUGUGAGGAAGGCGGGGAUGACGUCAAAUCAGCACGGCCCUUACGUCCGGGGCGACACACGUGUUACAAUGGCGGGGCAACAGAGGGAAGCCAGGCGGCGACGCCGAGCGGAUCCCGAAAACCCGUCUCAGUUCGGAUCGGAGUCUGCAACCCGACUCCGCGAAGCUGGAUUCGCUAGUAAUCGCGCAUCAGCCAUGGCGCGGUGAAUACGUUCCCGGGCCUUGUACACACCGCCCGUCAAGCCAUGGAAGCUUGGAGUGCCUGAAGUCCGUGACCGCAAGGAGCGGCCAAGGGUAAGACAAGUGACUGGGGCUAAGUCGUAACAAGGUAGCCGUA